UUUCAUUACCCUUCAAUACCUCUUUCCUUUCCUUCCCUUAUUCAUCCACAGAAAACGCGCCCUAAGGGUAUGCGCACCAACCAUGAAUGCCUAGAAGAGGAGGCAGGAAAUUUUCGGGAGGAGGCAUCAGGCUUGUCGGAGAGGAAUAGGUACUUGGAGAUGAGUAAGGAAUUUGAGGAUAAGUCUUAGCAAUUUGAGUAAUUGAAGCUUCACUUUACCGUAAAAGUGUCUCUGUUGGAGAUUGCUUGCUCAUACAAGGAUGUGUGCAUUAAAUUUCUUGAGGAGGAACUUGUUAUUCAUAAGGCCACCAUAUCUGAGAAGAACUCUCAAAUUACAUCCUUGGAUGAACUUUAUACCUCGGUGAAGCAAGAUGUUUUAUCAAUCAGGCUCUGUCAAAAAAAAUGUGUCUGAGUUGCGCCAUUCAAAUGGGAUUACAGUAGGAUUGUAUUGAAAUGAAGGAGAAGUAACCCGGGGAGUUGGAAGGGAAGCAUUUCAUCUAUUCCUAUCCUGGUGCCCAAAGUCGGAUUCUCGAUUGUUUUUCCGAUAUGAUAACUUAUAAGUAUCCACUCCUUAAGCUCCUAGAGGGGAACGAGGUUGACAUUGGUGUACUGAAGGAAAAGUUGGAAGCUUUGGAUCUGGAUCGCAAGUAUGUUGACGCGAGUAGUAGUGAUUAGGUGAUUGAUGGGGGAGAAUGGUUGAUUGUAGUUUAGGUGCUUUUGUCUUUUGAUAUGUAUGUGAUUAUACUCUUUUGGUCCGAUUAUCAAUGUUUUGUCUUGUAUUAUACUUUUUCUUACUGUCAAAUGUUGAAUGAAUGAAUGGUAUAUGUAACAUUGUUGUGUUUUUU